GGGGAUGAUCGGUUUCGACAUCGCCUGCGAAACUGCGAGAAGCGGGCCGAGGAUGCAGGGUUAUCUCGUUAACGAUCUCUGCAAACAACAGGUGCCAAUCUCAAGCGCACCGACGUUGCCCUCGCUGCGUAAGCAGCCCGGCAUAUAACGUCCGUCAGCCCGGGCUCGUCCUCGACCCGGAUCCUGGCGUCAUCUAGAGGACUUGCUGCGAAUCUGCGUCUCAGGGAUUCGCGGGACGUGAACUGAGACUGGGCUCGUCGACCUAGGUGUUCGUGACAAAGGUCGGAGCCGAGCAGAACGUCUCCACGGACUGCGCCCGGAGAAGGCGCAGAAUCACAGCGAUGGACGGGGGUUCAAUUCCCCCAUCUCCACC
rnacentral:tmRNA from 1 species